CAGUAGCCGCGGGAAUACGGAGGGGGCUAGCGUUGUUCGGAAUUACUGGGCGUAAAGCGCACGUAGGCGGCUUGGUAAGUUAGAGGUGAAAGCCCGGAGCUCAACUCCGGAAUUGCCUUUAAGACUGCCGAGCUAGCAGGUGAGAGAGGUAAGUGGAAUUCCGAGUGUAGAGGUGAAAUUCGUAGAUAUUCGGAAGAACACCAGUGGCGAAGGCGGCUUACUGGCUCAUACUGGACGCUGAGGUGCGAAAGCGUGGGAGCAAACAGGAUUAGAUAACCCGGUAGUCCCUGUCUCUUAUACA
rnacentral:rRNA from 1 species